UACGUAGGGGGCAAGCGUUGUCCGGAUUUAUUGGGCGUAAAGAGCGUGUAGGCGGCCAGACAGGUCUGCUGUGAAAACUCGAGGCUCAACCUCGAGACGCCGAUGGAAACCAUGUGGCUAGAGUCCGGAAGAGGAGAGUGGAAUUCCUGGUGUAGCGGUGAAAUGCGCAGAUAUCAGGAAGAACACCCGUGGCUAAGGCGGCUCUCUAGUACGGUACUGACGCUGAGACGCGAAAGCGUGGGGAGCGAACAGG
rnacentral:rRNA from 1 species